rnacentral:rRNA from 1 species
GGCUGAUGGCGACCGGCGCACGGGUGAGUAACACGUAUCCAACCUGCCGUCUACUCUUGGCCAGCCUUCUGAAAGGAAGAUUAAUCCAGGAUGGGAUCAUGAGUUCACAUGUCCGCAUGAUUAAAGGUAUUUUCCGGUAGACGAUGGGGAUGCGUUCCAUUAGAUAGUAGGCGGGGUAACGGCCCACCUAGUCAACGAUGGAUAGGGGUUCUGAGAGGAAGGUCCCCCACAUUGGAACUGAGACACGGUCCAAACUCCUACGGGAGGCAGCAGUGAGGAAUAUUGGUCAAUGGGCGAUAGCCUGAACCAGCCAAGUAGCGUGAAGGAUGACUGCCCUAUGGGUUGUAAACUUCUUUUAUAAAGGAAUAAAGUCGGGUAUGCAUACCCGUUUGCAUGUACUUUAUGAAUAAGGAUCGGCUAACUCCGUGCCAGCAGCCGCGGUAAUACGGAGGAUCCGAGCGUUAUCCGGAUUUAUUGGGUUUAAAGGGAGCGUAGAUGGAUGUUUAAGUCAGUUGUGAAAGUUUGCGGCUCAACCGUAAAAUUGCAGUUGAUACUGGAUGUCUUGAGUGCAGUUGAGGCAGGCGGAAUUCGUGGUGUAGCGGUGAAAUGCUUAGAUAUCACGAAGAACUCCGAUUGCGAAGGCAGC